rnacentral:rRNA from 1 species
UACAGAGGGUGCAAGCGUUGUUCGGAAUUAUUGGGCGUAAAGCGUGCGCAGGCGGUUUUGUAAGCCAGAUGUGAAAUCCCCGGGCUCAACCUGGGAAUGGCAUUUGGGACUGCAAGGCUUGAGUGCGGCAGAGGAGACUGGAAUUCCUGGUGUAGCAGUGAAAUGCGUAGAUAUCAGGAGGAAUACCGAUGGCGAAGGCAGGUCUCUGGGCUGACACUGACGCUCAUGCACGAAAGCGUGGGGAGCAAACAGG